AACGAACGCUGGCGGCAUGCCUAACACAUGCAAGUCGAACGAGACCUUCGGGUCUAGUGGCGCACGGGUGCGUAACGCGUGGGAACCUGCCCUUAGGUUCGGAAUAACUCCCCGAAAGGGGUGCUAAUACCGGAUAAUGUCUUCGGACCAAAGAUUUAUCGCCUUUGGAUGGGCCCGCGUUGGAUUAGCUAGUUGGUAGGGUAAAAGCCUACCAAGGCGACGAUCCAUAGCUGGUCUGAGAGGAUGAUCAGCCACACUGGGACUGAGACACGGCCCAGACUCCUACGGGAGGCAGCAGUGGGGAAUAUUGGACAAUGGGCGAAAGCCUGAUCCAGCAAUGCCGGGUGAGUGAUGAAGGCCUUAGGGUUGUAAAGCUCUUUUACCCGGGAUGAUAAUGACAGUACCGGGAGAAUAAGCGCCGGCUAACUCCGUG
rnacentral:rRNA from 1 species